UUACCAGGUCAAGACAUGGGCGUGAUUGACAGGCUAAUGACUUUUCUCGAUUCCAUGGAUGGUGGUGCAUGGUCGCACUUAGUUGGUGCAGUGAUUUGUCAGGUUUAUUCCGGUAACGAACGAGACCUCGGCCUUGUAAAUAGCUAUGCUGCUUACAGGGACAUUGGCGGCUACGCCAAGGAAGCUCGAGGCAAUUGCAGAUCUGGAAUGCCCUUAGAUGUCCUGGGUCGCACGCGUGCUACAAUGACGCCACGAACGAGCUUGCGUGAUGAAAGUUACGCAUAAUCAGCAGUCGGCGUCUUAAGGGAUAGUCUCUUGUAACUGUGGGACUCCAACUAGGAAUGUCUCGUAAGCACAAGUCAACAUCUUGUGUUGAUUACGUCCCUGCUCUUUGUACACACCGCCCGUCGCUCCUACCGAUCGAGUGUUUAGGUGAAUUUGAUGGACGUAAGGAAGUCAAAUAAACCUGAGCACUAGAGAAGGAGAAGUCUAUACAUGUU
rnacentral:rRNA from 1 species